GCCCUGCUGACCAUAGCUCAGAGGGAGAGCUGCUGUUUUGCAUGCAGAAGGUCCCAGGUUCAGUUCCCAGCAUCUCCAGGUAGGGCU